rnacentral:rRNA from 1 species
CGCAAUGGACGAAAGUCUGACGGAGCGACGCCGCGUGGAUGAAGAAGGCCGAAAGGUUGUAAAAUCCUUUUGCUGAUGAAGAAUAAGUGGAGUAGGGAAUGAUUCCAUGAUGACAUUAGUCGGUGAAUAAGCCCCGGCUAACUACGUGCCAGCAGCCGCGGUAACACGUAGGGGGCAAGCGUUGUUCGGAAUUAUUGGGCGUAAAGGGCAUGUAGGCGGUUUUGUAAGCCUGGUGUGAAAUCCUGCAGCUUAACUGUAGAAUUGCAUUGGGUACUGCAAGACUUGAAUCACAUAGGGGAAACUAGAAUUCCAGGUGUAGGGGUGGAAUCUGUAGAUAUCUGGAAGAAUACCGGUGGCGAAGUCGGGUUUCUAGCUGAUGAUUGACGCUGAGGUGCGAAAGUGCGGGGAGCAAACAGGAUUAGAUACCCUGGUAGUCCGCACCGUAAACGAUGUACACUAGGUGUCGGGGCAUGAGUCUCGGUGCCAAAGCUAACGUGUUAAGUGUACCGCCUGGGAAGUAUGCUCGCAAGGGUG